GGCGAACGGGUGAGUAACACGUGGGUGAUCUGCCUUGCACUUCGGGAUAAGCCUGGGAAACUGGGUCUAAUACCGGAUAGGACCAUGCUUUAGUGUGUGUGGUGGAAAGUUCUUCGGUGCAAGAUGAGCCCGCGGCCUAUCAGCUUGUUGGUGGGGUAAUGGCCUACCAAGGCGACGACGGGUAGCCGGCCUGAGAGGGUGUACGGCCACAUUGGGACUGAGACACGGCCCAG
rnacentral:rRNA from 1 species